UAGCAUUUCCUCGCUUGAGCAUCGCAGUAAUUUUUGUACCCUUUGGUCUCCCACAGCUGGUAUACCAAAAGAAAACGCCAGCACAAAACCCAGCCAAGCUCCUUGGAAAUGUAAAUAGACCGGAACCACUGGUGUCCUCUUAACACAGCAUCAAUCACUGCUGGGUGCUGGAAGUGGCAGCACAUUCGUUGCAGUCCAGGCAGCCAUUGCGGGCAGCAGAUGGAGAGGGUUUAAGACCUUGUAGCACUGUUUUGAAGCUUCUCUGCAGAAGAUGGAGCACAGAUGGAGUGUGCUUUGACCUGCUCACUCAGUUUACAGUAGGUUCAGUGUCUCGGUGUUCAGAGUGCCAUGGGGAGUAAAUAUGCUGAGUGGGAUGCAGUCCCUGCCCAAAGAUUGAGCCAGAGAAGAGACUGCAAGAAGAGACCAAGACUACCAAGGUGAGUGGCAAAACUAGAAAUUUGAACUCCUGGUUCUCGUGCCAGGACUCCCUUUGCAUACACCAGGCUACUUAAUUUGACUUCCCUUGAAAGGGGAAUAAGGCCCCUCUCCACUGAUUUUGAGCUGCUCCUGAGAGUUGUAAUAGUUGAUUUUGGCCCUGGUACAAG
rnacentral:lncRNA from 1 species